rnacentral:rRNA from 1 species
GUGCCAGCAGCCGCGGUAAAACGUAGGUGGCGAGCGUUAUCCGGAUUUACUGGGCGUAAAGCGUGUGCAGGCGGGGAACCAAGUGGUGUAUGAAAUCGCCCGGCUAAACCGGGCUAGGUUAUGCCAGACUGGUUUUCUGGAGUGCGAGAGAGGGGCGUGGAAUUCCGGGUGUAGUGGUGAAAUGCGUAGAGAUCCGGAGGAACCCCAGAGGCGAAGGCGGCGCCCUGGCUCGCAACUGACGCUCAGACACGACAGCAUGGGGAGCGAACGGGAUUAGAAACCCGCGUAGUCC